rnacentral:rRNA from 1 species
GACGGGGCCCGCACAAGCGGUGGAGCAUGUGGUUUAAUUCGACGCUACGCGAAGAACCUUACCAGGGCUUGACAUCCCCUGACCGCGUAUGAAAGUACGUUUUCACCCUCGGGUGACAGGGAGACAGGUGGUGCAUGGUUGUCGUCAGCUCGUGUCGUGAGAUGUUGGGUUAAGUCCCGCAACGAGCGCAACCCCUACGUUUAGUUGCUAACGCGUGAAGGCGAGCACUCUAGACGAACUGCCGUUGACAAAACGGAGGAAGGUGGGAUGACGUCAAAUCAUCAUGCCCCUUAUGUUCUGGGCUACACACGUGCUACAAUGGCCGGUACAGACGGAGGCGAAGCCGCGAGGCGGAGCAAAUCCGAAAAAGCCGGUCUCAGUUCGGAUUGCAGGCUGCAAUUCGCCUGCAUGAAGUCGGAAUCGCUAGUAAUCGCAGGUCAGCAUACUGCGGUCGAAUACGUUCCCGGGCCUU